rnacentral:rRNA from 1 species
UAAGGAAUAUUGGACAAUGGUCGCAAGACUGAUCCAGCCAUGCCGCGUGCAGGAAGACGGCCCUAUGGGUUGUAAACUGCUUUUGUACCAGAGAAAACCUAUCUACGUGUAGAUAGCUGAUAGUAUGGUAAGAAUAAGCAUCGGCUAACUUCGUGCCAGCAGCCGCGGUAAGACGAAGGAUGCAAGCGUUAUCCGGAUUCACUGGGUUUAAAGGGUGCGUAGGUGGGCAGAUAAGUCAGUGGUGAAAUCUUCCAGCUUAACCGGGAAACUGCCGUUGAUACUAUUUGUCUUGAAUAUUGCGGAGGUAAGCGGAAUAUGUCAUGUAGCGGUGAAAUGCUUAGAUAUGACAUAGAACACCAAUUGCGAAGGCAGCUUACUACACAAUCAUUGACACUGAGGCACGAAAGCGUGGGUAGCGAACA